rnacentral:lncRNA from 10 species
CUGAGGGGUGUUAGGAAAACCUCCUCACUCUCAUGUAGAAGACACAGGAAGAGACAGUCCUGCUCUUUCUCUGGACAUUAUCGUGUGUGGAAGUGAGGCCUGGUGCUGGGGCAGUCAUCUUGUCAAUACACAGUAGAGUCCAGGGCCAAGAGAACUGUCAACAGCCAGAGUUCUGUGACUCUGUGAUAAAGUCCAUCCUGUUUCUGGUUAUGUGAGAUAGUAAAACUCCUUUUUGUAUGCAUCAGGGUCCAGCUUUGCUUCCUGGUUGCUGAUUCUGCUGACCCACAGUGACCUUGGACUCACCACCAGACAUGAAAGCAAUAGCUUUGCAUAGACUUCUUCAAUUGCCCAAGGUCUAAUACAUGGAAGAAAACCAUUAUUUCAUGUUCUGCUUCUUCAAUCAAACCCUAACUGAUACAUUUGAUGUUAUAGGGCCUCAAUUCUAUAAAUUCUUGAAUCUACAAAAUGGAACAAGGAUACCAAAAGACAUCUUAGUUUCCUUCCUCUAUUAAUUACCAAAACUUUUAUCUCUUGUUAAGAGUUCCUAUAAUAAUUUUGACAAAGAGUCAAGGUGGCAUAGAUUUGCAUUUUAGAAGCCUUAAGACUCUGGCAGCAGCAUAGAGGAUGUUUUGGAGUUGGAGGAGACUGGAUACAGGGAAAAGAUCAAACUUGGGCCAGUCUGCAACUGAUGGCUGAACCUUCCUUGCUGUUCUGAAACCCAUAACUGGAAGUUGACUUGCCCUGAAUUUUUUCUUGCAUGCGACCCAAGAACCCCCUCUUGGGGUCUGGAUCAGGACCCCUUUCCUGUAACAUAAGGACAGCAUUCCUCCCAUCCAGAAGACACAGCAACAAGGAGCCAUCUUGGAAGCAGAGAUAGCAGCCUUCACCAGACAACCAAACCUGCCAGUGCCUUGAUCUUGGGCUUCCUGACUGUAAGAAAUAAAACUGUUCUUUAUCAAUUACUCGGUGUCAGGUAUUUUGCUAUAGCAGCACAAAUGAACUAAGACAGAGAGACAAUAGCCUUGAACUUGGAGAA